rnacentral:pre_miRNA from 1 species
GCGGCUCGCCGGAUCUAGCGGUAGAGCUCGGGCUCCCAAUCCAGGCGAGCUCGAGCUCUGUCACCAGAUCCGGCGAGCUCGA